CGGCAAAACAGAGUCAGCUUCGCCUCAAAUGGAUACCAUCUCUCCAGUCACUCAACUACAUCAAGAAGCUAGUGCUCCUCGGCUUCAAAUAACCAGUGCAAAGACUCUAGCUGAAUCUUCCAACCUCACUUCCAUUCCCUCCCACUACGCCUUCACCACCCCACUUCCGGUGAUCAAGCCGUUCAUGCCGACCAUGAUGACUCCAUCCCCGUCAUUGACUUCUCUCUCCUCUCCUCGAGUAAUCCCGAUCAACGGUCUAAAGCCAUCUCCGAUCUUGCAAAGGCUUGUCAAGACUGGGGCGUCUUCAUGCUGAUCAACCACGGAGUGCCUGAGAGUCAAAUGAAGGCGACGGUCGACGCGCUGAUGGGAUUUUUCGAUCUGACAGAGGAGGAGAAGAAUAAGUUUCUAGGGAAGCACGUGUUGGAUCCCAUAAUAUACGGGACGAGCUUUAAAGCUUCGGUCGACAAAGUGCUCCUCUGGAGAGAUUUUCUGAAGAUGAUGGUGCAUCCAAAGUUUCACUGCCCUCCCGAGCCAGAAGGAUUGAGUGAAGUUUUAGCAGAGUACACUGGGGAGCUCCGGAAAUUAGCCAGGGAAUUGCUCAAGGCUAUAUCGGAGAGCCUAGGACUGGGACCAGGCUAUAUCGACGAGGCAAUGAACAUGGAUUCAAGCCUACAGAUAUUAGCAGCGAAUCUGUAUCCGCCAUGCCCACAGCCAGAACUUGCUAUGGGCCUACCCUCGCACUCGGACUAUGGCCUGUUGACCAUCCUCAUGCAGAAUGACAUUGGCGGCCUCCAAGUGAACCAUGGCGGGAAGUGGUUCAAAGUUGAUCCCAUUCCGAAUGCCUUUGUGGUCAACACCGCUGAUCAGCUCGAGAUUAUGAGCAAUGGGAAAUACAAGAGCGUUCUGCAUCGAGCUGUCUUGAACAACAAGACUACAAGGAUAUCGAUCCCUUUUUCUAUUGGACCGUCGCCCAACACUGUCGUUGUGCCAGCGGAGCAGCUGGUGGAUGGCAAGCACAACCAAGCCACAUACAUCUCGAGGAAUUACAAGGACUACCUGGAAUUUAAACAGAGCAGAGUACUCAAUAAAGGGUUGUGCCCAAAUCAGGUAAAGAUAUGAUUUGUGCAGCCUAUUGUUGUGCUGUAUUAUGUUAAAAAUGGAUGUGAUUGUCUACUGCUUCUAGUCUGUUUGGACUCUUUGGAGAGCAACCUGAUGGAACGUUUAAUAUUAUGUGAAGCAUUGUGCAAGAACCAUACAGUACUGUGGAUGUAAGCUAAACCUUCCUGAGAUGUAUCUUCUUGGCAUAAUAAAUGGAAGUGUGAACUGCAUAAUGUCUGAUUAAA